GCUGUAAGUUGUAAUCUGUGGUUCGUUACCCUACCUUCCCAUUGAAAUGGUGUUGUGGUGGUUUUUAGGUCAAUAAUCCUAAUAUCUUUUUAAUAAAUUAUUGAAAUGCAGUGUUCUUGUAUCUUAUCAUAACAGCAACAAUAUUUUGUUCAUGUGUUGUGCCUAUUAUGGAUGUAUUGUGCUUUGAAAAUAUUUAUAUUUUGUGGGAGUAAUGACACUGAAGAAAAUCGCGAAAAUGUCAACAAAAUCUCAUAUUUCUACGGAAUUGAGUGAAACGAUAAGCAAUGUUUUGGGUAAAAAUGUUAAAAUUCUAUACAAAACCCUUAUUCGAAUGGAAUCAAGAGGUGAUAAAGUGGACAACAAAGUUUUGGUUGUAACAGCUUACAGAAUUUUCAUUACAACAGCUAAGGUUCCAACAAGGAUCGACAAUGGAUUUCACUUGAUGGAAAUAGAAGCGCUCGAGAGUAAAAAGGCCAAUCAUCUGUCUAUAACACUGAUCCAUGAACACAAGCCAGUGUCUAUACUUAUAGGCGAAGAAGGAACAUCGGAUGGAGUGCUUAAUGUCCUACACGCGUUAGUUGCAGCCUUUGACGACUUAUUUCCAAAUGUAGCCAUGAUUGACAUUAUAUCCAAGGUAAAUCUACCAUACCCUGUGCCACAAGUGAGCGGCACUCGAAAACACUCAACCUGCGGUGAUUUCUCCAAUCAGUACGCAGCUAUGUGCGAUCUCUGCCAAACGCCCUUCAGAGCUGAAGUAGCAUGGGACAUUGAUACAAUAUAUCUUGCACAUGACAUAAGGAUGUUACAUCUAAAAGAUUUCGAUCAUUUAGAUCAAAGAGACCUAAUCCCUUUAGUGAUGGCGUUACAACAUAAUACAUGGUUCAACGGUGUUUGUGGGGAUGGGGUACGGGCGAGUGGUGAGGCUUGGGAGAGUGUAUGUCGCGUGGUGAGGUCUGCCAGACCACCCCCGGCUCGCCUGUCAUGGCGCGCCGCCGCGCUUAGACACGACCACGCUGCAAGACUGGGACACGCUUUGACCAGAGCCAGACACCCCCCAGCUAUGCACACCAUCGAUUUCUCUCAAAAUCAUAUUGAAGACAAAGGUGCUAUUAGUAUACUCGGUGGGCUCGCGAACAAUCCGGACGGGCUGAGGCACAUUGCGUUAUCACAAUGCGGCCUCACCGGCAAAACUGUGAUGCAUCUAGCGACCAUGCUCAAUGACAACCCAUGCCACCUGUCUACGCUGUCACACCUCGACCUCUCCUACAAUAACCUCAAAGAUGACGUACAUAAUUUAUACAACUUCUUGGCACAACCGAAUGUAUUGACGUAUUUGAACUUGACAAACACAGAAACUACGUUAGAAAACGUAAGUAAUAAAAUGUGGGGUGCAUUGUUACGUGGUUGCGCGGCCCGCCUGGCGACUCUGUCAGUGGCCCGCAAUCCCUGGUCCGCGGCGAGACGCGCGCGCGACCCGCCGCCAUCUUUCCGACAGUUCUUCACUGCCUGCCUCGCCCUCACUGACCUCGAUUUUUCAUACUGCAAGAUGCCACCUGAUGCCCUCAAGAGUCUGUUACUCGGGUUAGCGUGUAACGAGAGCGCUACUGGUGUGCAAUUGAAUCUGUCUGGAGUAUUGUCUUCCUCGCAAGCCGCGCACGUGCUCGAGUCUUGCAUACACGGCGUCAGAUGUUUGCAGUCCUUGGACUUGUCCGAUAACAGUAUGGAAUUCGAAUUAUCUGGUAUUGUGAGGGCGAUUGGGAAGAACCAUUCUAUCACUCACUUGUCUCUAAGUAAGCUGACCGGGAAAAGGUCUUAUGCACCGCCUUUAAUACAGGCUCUAGUCCACGUUCUUCAAGAACCAGAUACAGCUUUGACUUCGUUGGAUCUCAGUGAUUGUAAACUUAAGGGUGAUUUGUACGGGCUUCUGAACGCACUGGGCGGGGCCCGUCGGCUGCGGUCGUUGGAUGUGGGCGGGAACCUCGCGGGCGACGCGGGCGCACGAUUGCUCGCUAAAGCUCUACAGUGUAACUGCACGCUACAGACCCUGUAUAUAGACAGGAAUGCUUUUAGCUUGCAAGGUCUGACGGACAUAGCGACGGCCUUACGUCGGUCGGUGAGCGUGCGUCGCGUGGAGUUCCCGGGCUGCGACGCGGCCGCCGGGGGACGCGGCGCUAGUGAACGGGUCGCCACGCUCUGGAGAGACCUGCACGAACGGCUGGCGAACAACUGCAGCCCGACGCAGACGCACACGCUGCGCGCGCUGGCCCUGGAGCGCGCCUGGGCGGGCGGGGAGGCGGCGGCGGCGCUGGCAGCGCACGCGGCCGCCGCGCUGCCGCCGCCGCCGCUGCCCGCCGCGCUCGAGCGGGCCGCCGCCGCCGCGCACCAGCUGCUGCACCAGUACCUGCAGAGAUGCGGCGAAGUGUUCGCGGCGAUGGGUGGCAGUGGUACGAGUGGUGAGCUGGUGACUCUACAAGCAGUGCGGGACGCCAUGGCGCCCUGUACCACUUCUCUGCAGGACCUGCUCAAUCAAGCGGUGGAGAGCCUCGCCCUCCUGGCUUGUGAGAAUGUGGACCACAUGGACAGUGAGCCCAUGCCCAGCGCUGACGGAGACAUCCCUGAUCUGCUCACACCUAUAUCACAUUCUGGGAAAUUGGAUUACUUGAAUUUGGCCACACCACUGGGUUGUCGUCGCCGUGAGCGCGGAUGUCGCCGCGUCCGCCCGAAGUCGGUGGCCGAGCAACAAUGCAGCAGCAAUGAGAUGCUGUCGCUGCCGCCGCUGCAUGCUGAGGCCGCGGACGCACUGGCUGAGCUACCCGCGCAUACUCUGCGACACCUUGUUAAAGGUCGACCUAGACGAGCUAAGACUAGGGCGCCAACACGGCCCAUUACAGAUCAGUCACAAGAUAUUGAUGAAGGAUUGGAGGAGUUCUGGCGCACGUGUCGCACGCCGCCGGGCAGCGAGGAGGCGUCCCUGUCGGCGCGCACGCCGCUGACGUCCCGCUCGCUGCACUCGCUGUCGUCGCUCGCCUCGCCCUCGCCGCUGCGGCACUCGCCCACUCUGCAGCGCGACGAUACAAUGUACAGUGUGACAUCGGGUGAAAGCACACCGGUUCUAUUAGAAUGUGAAGUAUCCCGUUGCAAGUCUUCCGACAAUGUAGGCAUGAAGACCUCGGCUUCCACGCCCCCGCCUUCCCGAUCUUCAGACAACGUUAACACCAUGGGGAACGGGUGCGCGCGUACACCCGGCAAGGCGCGGCCCUGGUCCGUGGCGGGAGUCAACCCUGACAAUAACGCCGCUUGUACUACCGAAGGCGUGGAGGCGUGCGUGGGCGGCAGCAUCGUGGGCAUCACGCCGGGCGCCGCAUUAACCAGUAACCAACUUUCAGACGCUAUUCUAUACUGAACGAUCUAUGUGCCCUGUGCCGUCUCGCUGUAUAGGUUCAAUGUUACGAGAUCAUCCUUUAACUCCAGAGGGUACUGAGACCUAAGCCAAGCUCGGGUGCAGUCAGCGUGACGGAGACAGUACGUGAUAGUUGAGCAGGGUUCAAUGUCCAGAUAUUACACAAAAACGGAUUUUAUUCUCGGAUGCUCACAAUUGUGCCAGUUAGAAUGUUAACGUUUUAGACAGUAAAGUAGUUACUGAUUAGGAUUCUAAUAUUGUAUUUGAGUAAAACUGAACGCCAUUUUAGUUAUUGUGCGGAAAGAUACAUUUUUAACUUCUAACUUUAAGGACAUUAUGAAUUGAUGAUACAUGGUCAUAAUAAUUCCAAGUAACUUAUGCUAGGAUUAAAAUUAAAAUAUAUUGUAUAAUCAUUUUCUAUUUACUGUGAUUCAGUUAGUAUUAUGUUACUGAUUCGUGUAGUCAUUAAUAUAUUUUAAUCGCUUAUAAUUUAUAGAUAUAUUCGUAACCUAUCCCACUAAACGGAUAUAUUAUUUUAAGUGGGAUAUAUAUUAUUUGAUGUAAUGAAUUAUUAUUUCUUCUAUACGAUAAAAUUUGUAUUAUAAUCUCAUGAGAUUCAUAUUUAUUUAAUUUGAAAGAUGUUUUUGCUUUGCCAUUGAGCUUGCCGUGGUUUCUUGACAAACAAUAUUUCUACCAUGUUUGUAAAAAUGUUUUAACGAGUUCUAAUGUCAGUAUUGAUAAGACACGAUGUUUUAGACGUUGAUCAAAUGCAGUAAUCUGGUAGAUUUUAAAAGUAUGUGACACAAAGAUAGAGUUAAGGUGGGCUCUUUAGCUGCGUAAUGCUUUUAAUUAUGGUUACCUCCUAACGCACAAAUCUUCAGAUUUCGGUAAUUUCUACGCGUUCAGCGUAUCUAGGGUAAAUGUCUACAUCCUAUUGUAAAAUAUUAGUGAAUUUAUGAUAAUUCUGUUCCGAAACGCAGAUCAUUCGCGAUUUUCUUACUGCUUGAUGACUAUGACAAGUAAAAAACUAAUGGUAGCGCAAUACCACCUCACAGACAUGCCAUAAUUAUUAACUAUUUUAAUUAUGCUUGUUAGUCCGGGUAUUGAUAAGUCGUUAUUACAAAAGAAUAUUACCAGUAUGACCUCAAAACAAAUAGGUGCUACUACAUACUUGAUUGACUCAGUUGGACACAUGUUGAUCAAUUUGUACUGAAAUCAACGCCAAAAUAGUUUCACAUAAGAACCAUGGUUUGUCAAGUAUGCAGUAAAAUAAAUGGCCAACACUAGGUUUAAACCAUUACAAUUUUAGCAAUGAAAUAAUGUAAAUAUAUAAUCUUUGUGAAUUCGUUCAGCAUUGGUAAGUUAGGAACUUUGUUCGAGAACUAAUUGGUCUUAACUAGUCAUAUUUUAAAAGGCCUAUAUUAUUAAUUACGCAUUACGCACAAUUUAUUUACGUCCGAUUAUAUUAUGAAUUGUGAGAAUAAUUUGUUUUUAAUAUAAUUUACCAUGACAGAUAUCUUCCAGUUUAUACAUUCCUUUGUAAAUUUUAAAGUAGACAUGAAGUAUUUGAAAAUAUUGAACAAGUGUGAUUUUUAAAAUGAAGUUCAAAACGUGAAAGUGAAUUUUUAGAUUAGUGCACUUGCAGAGAUGUAUGUAAGGUUCAAUUUUGCGAUAAUUUGGUGAAAGUAGAUAACUCGCCCCAUACAGUUAAGUGUUCAUUAGAGUAAAUAUUUGUAAACGAUUACAUUCAUUUAUAUCUCUUGAAUUCAUAAAGGCUGUCUCGUACUGGAGUUUCCUGUAUGUAAAAUUACUGAUCGAGGUAGAUGUAUAUUGCUAAAUUAUUUCAUAGUAUUUUUAUAUUCAUUCCAAUUUAGUUGGUUUUAUCUAGCUCUUUGGUACCAGACUGAUUUUAAGGUACUUUUAUUUUAUGGUGCAAUUUAUGUCUAGAGCGUUGUGAUAAUCGUUUAAAAUUACAUACAAUAUACAAA